rnacentral:rRNA from 1 species
GAUGAACGCUGGCGGCGUGCCUAAUACAUGCAAGUCGAGCGAACAGAUAAGGAGCUUGCUCCUUAGACGUUAGCGGCGGACGGGUGAGUAACACGUGGGUAACCUACCUAUAAGACUGGAAUAACUCCGGGAAACCGGGGCUAAUGCCGGAUAACAUUUAGAACCGCAUGGUUCUAAAGUGACAGAUGGUUUUGCUAUCACUUAUAGAUGGACCCGCGCCGUAUUAGCUAGUUGGUAAGGUAACGGCUUACAAAGGCAACGAUACGUAGCCGACCUGGGAGGGUGAUCGGCCACACUGGAACUGAGACACGGUCCAGACUCCUACGGGAGGCAGCAGUAGGGAAUCUUCCGCAAUGGGCGAAAGCCUGACGGAGCAACGCCGCGUGAGUGAUGAAGGUCUUCGGAUCGUAAAACUCUGUUAUUAGGGAAGAACAAAUGUGUAAGUAACUGUGCACGUCUUGACGGUACCUAAUCAGAAAGCCACGGCUAACUACGUG